UUUUUUACAACAGAGAUAUCGAUAGGUUAAGGCAUAAAUGUGUGAUUAGUGGGGUAUCAUUGCUGGUACCACCAGCGAUUUAUUUAAAAUAUGGGAUAAGCCAUAAAUUAGAAAUUGAUGGGACCACCACCCAUCUCAAAUAUAGGAUUAGCCAUAAAUGAGCCACUGCUGCUGUACAAUUGCUGGGACCACCACCAAUCUCAAAAUAAGGCUAAGCCAUGAAUGAGCAAUCAGUGGGGUAUGAUUGAUGGGAUCAAUCUGACCACUGAUCUAAAAAAUGGCAUAAGCCAAAAAUGAGUCAUUGGUGGAAUAUGACUGCUGGGAGCACUACCAAUCUAAAAAAAAAAAAAAGCAUAGGCAAUUAAUGAGCAAUUGAUGGGCCCACUACCAGUCUCAAAAAUAGCAUAAGCCAUAAGUGAGUCAUGGUGUUAUACGAUUGUUGGGGCCACAUAUUUCAAAAAUUGGAUAGGCCAUAAAUAAGGGAUUGAUGAGACCGCUAUCGAUCUCAGAAAUGGGAUAAACCAUAAAUGAGCAAUUGAUAAAACCACUACGGAUCUCAAAAAAUGGGAUAAGCCAUAAGUAAGUCAUUGGUGUGGUACGAUUGUUGGGACCACCAGUCUCCAAAAUAGAAUAAGCCAUAAAUAAGCAAUUGAGAAGACCACUAAUAAUCAGAAAAAUGGGAUAAGCCAUAUAUGAGUCAUUGGUGCAGAAGGACUGCUGGGAUCACUGAUCUCAAAAUUAUGAUAAGCCAAAAAUCAGCAAUUGGUGGGGUACAUUUAAUGGGACCAAUGCCGAUCUGGAAAAAAAAAAAAGGGAUAGGCCACAAAUGUCUGAUCGGUGGUGGUCCUAGCAAUCGUUCCCCACCAAUCGUCCAUUUACGGCAUAUCCCAUUUUUGAGCUUGGUGGUGGUCCCAGCAAAGGUAUCCCACCAAUCAACAUUUAUGGCUUAUGUUAUUCUUUAUGUUUUAUCCCAUUUUUUUUAAUUGGUGGCAUACAAUUACUUGGACCACCACCAAUCUCAAAAAGGGUUAAGUCAUAAAUGUGGGGACAGUAACAAUGUUGAGAAAACCACUGGACUCAAAAAUGGGAAAAUGCGGUCAGUAGUGGUCCCAGCAAUCGUACCCCACCAAUCUAAAAAAAAAAAAUAGUUUAAGCCAUAAAUCUGUGAUCAGUCGAGUAUGAUGGCAUGAUCACCAUAGAUCUCAAAAUUGUGCAUGCAUAUCAAACUCAACUUAAAGGGGUAUUCACAUAUUUCUAGGACGUACCAUCACUUUAUGAUCAGGGGGUCUGAAUUCCAAUGAUCAUGAGAGUCACUUCUCUCUAUGUUGCAGCUCAGCCCUGUUCUAGUAAAGAGUGGUAGGGUAAUUCCCUACACAGCCAAGUGGUCAGGAUUGCAGAUGUGCUGGGAAAAAUUAGAAGAGAACGCAACACUUCAUCCUAGUGGUGCGGCAUGACUAGUAUAACAUCAUGAAAGAUGGAAUUUUUCAACAAUUUUUAUUAAUGAUCUAUUCACACCAAGUAUGCGGCUUGGACAUCUGUUCCGUGCUUCCUUGCGAUAAAUGAGGUUCCUCCAUGUCAAAGAAUCUACAGGGCGAGAUGGAAUUUUUCUACAAUUUUUCUUAAGGAUCUGUUCACACCAAGUAUGCGGCUUGGACAUCUGUUCCGUGCUUCCUUGCGAUAACUGAGGUUCCUCCAUGUCAAAGAAUCUACAGGGCGAGAUGGAAUUUUUCUACAAUUUUUCUUAAGGAUCUGUUCACACCAAGUAUGCGGCUUGGACAUCUGUUCCGUGCUUCCUUGCGAUAACUGAGGUUCCUCCAUGUCAAAGAAUCUACAGGGCGAUGUGAUUGCCAUGAUGGGUUCUUCCAGCCAAAACUCACCUCUUCAGCAUCUGCAGGACAAAUGUGGUGUCCCGGUACCGUAUUGCAUACCGUACCUUGUAUGGUGGUCCCCAAAGUCAGAGUAACUACGCUCAGGGACAGAACACCGAAUUUUUCCCUUGAAAUGGAACUGAUCUGUGACCAUCUGCCCAGGACACGGGGGAGUGCGGCACUUGUUCUGAUCCCAGUGGUCUAUGUCCAAGUCGUGCCAAGCCGCUCUUGUUAAUCCAUGACAUACUGUGUCUGCGUGGGAGCCAUAUCCACAUUGUUUCUGUGCCACUUCCCUCCCAAGGCUGUCACAAAUGAGACAAACUAGUGACCCAAUAUAUUGGGCCAGUGACCUUGUGAGUCCGGAAGAACUGGCGGCAGCCAUAACAUCAGUGUCGCUGCAGACUGUCCUCACACCUGCGAAGGUUCUACACAUACAGUAUAUAUGUCCACAAAGAGCCGACUAUUCAUUCCAGUGCUCCCCCAUGUAUAGGAGUGCUCCCCCAUUUAUAGAGGUGCUGACCAAAUCUGUGCCUAUGACUAAAACAGUGGGGGAGAUAUUCAAAAACUACUGUAAGGGUACGUUCAGACGAGAGGAUCCACAGCCUAUUUUAUGGUGCGGAUCCGCUGCUGAAGGACCGCUACAUGUUGCCUUUAGAUGCUCGGAAAAAAAAUAACUAAAUUGCCAAUCUUUUUUUUGUUGCCGCCAUAUUGGAUUUUUUUGCGCCACAAUUGCCGCCCUUGGUGCCAAAAUCGGCAAUUUUGGCGCCAAAAUUGCAAAUUUUCGUUCCAAAUUUUACAUCCUGGAAGAGUCUGGCGGAAACAUCUCAUGUAAUAUUCCAUCCUUGUUACUAGUGCCCAGACAAGCGAUAACUGUAUAAAUGUAAGUUCAGGUGCAGUCACCAUGAACAAAAAAAAAAAAUUAUUCGUUUUUUUUUUUAUAUUUUCCAAUAAUAAUACAUUUUUCAAUCAUUGAUUAAAUAACACUUUUUCAACAAAAAAAAACGAAAGAAAAAAUAAUACAACCAUUUCUGUAAUUUCUACACUAGCAAAAAGCUGGUAUGAAAUUUUUGAUGAAAAAUGGACUCUAAGGGUACGUUCACACGGGCGGAUUUUUUUGCAGGUUUUUUGCUGCGUAUUUGAACGGGG